UUUGACAUUUCUUUGAGGAAAUCCAGGUAUUUUGGCUAUCAUCUUUUCCAAACAUCAAGCAAGCCCUUGCUAUCAGAAUAAUAACAAUAAUCUCAAAUGUUUACGAGCACAUUUUAUGUGCCAGGCUUUAUGCACAUUACCACUUUGCAUGGAUUAAUGCAUCUGUUCCUUGUAAAAACCCUAUAGCAUUAUCCCCAUGUAACAGAUGAAGAACUUGAGUAUAUGAAGGGUGAAGGAUCUUGCCAGGGAUUAUCCAGCCAGGAAAUGGCAGAAUCACAGGCCAGGUCUGCAGGCUGGCUCCAGAGGCACACCUCACUCUCUGCUGUAACUACAACCAGCCACCAAGUUGAUCGCUUUUAGUAUUUCUUUGACCAAAUAAGAGUUCCAGCCUUAUCGUAUGAUUGGUAAUCAACCAGAAUUUUUGAGUCAUGGCUCCUCAAUGACUAUGUGGAAUUUACUAGUGAAAUUCAUAAAACAUUGAGAUCUUUCGUGGGAAUAACAAAAUGACUCACGCCUUCAGCUGCCCGAUUCUCCUAAGAACCACGAUGUGAGGCUGCACGAUUGUGGACCUGGGACAGUUGGUGGAUCCUGGUAACUGGAGGAUCUUUUACAAACUUAAAUAUUUUCUUAAACAAGGGUUUGAAGAUGCCUGUUUGAAGGAAAGAAACACGUGAGUAAUAAAUAGUGAAUGCUACAGAGAAACCAGAAAGUAAGAAAGGUGCAUAGGACUGUGGUCAGGGCAGCUAUAGAAGCU
rnacentral:lncRNA from 10 species